ensembl:lncRNA
UAUUUAAAAUAAGUGAGAGUGCAGUUAUAUCUGUGUAUGUGGUUCAAAUAAACUACUUAUUCUCUGUAUUACAGCAUCAGGCACUCAGGAUAAGAGGCAGGAUCCCUGGAGAAAAGUGUUGCAAGAUCUUGGUUUGUCCAGGCUCUUUAAGGGUUGUAGACAGUAGUGGCUGCACCUUAAGAGGAGCGCAGGUGUUUUGCAGUUCUCUUGAGGCAUGUGCAUAUGCAUUUCCACAGCACACCAGGGUAUCAUCUACAAGCCGGCCUCCACAGCAUUGAACCCCAUAGCCAUCAUGAAGGCUCCCACUGCAGCAGAGCUGGCCGCCUGUCAUGGAGUAAGGAACCCCCCCACAGCAUCUGUCACCCGGCCCCACGGAGACUCGGCCCUGCAAGUGGUCAGGACAGCAGUAUUCACCUACAAAGACAAGGACAGAUGAAGGAAACGCUUGAACAACGUGGAACGUUUUGAUCCCAGACAAUGAAACACAAUAAACCCGAUGUUAAUGCACACAAACAAAGUGAAACUCACUGGUUUUAACAAGAACAUAAUAUCCUUCACAGCACUGGUGCCCUGGGAGAGAUGGGAUCAGUUUGCCAUUGCAGCACACCGGGAUGGAAAAAUUAUUCCAACUCAUAUAACUGCCGUCACAACAAUAAUGAUGCAGCUUCUUCGUGUGUAACUGUCCAGUGCAGCAAACCUGUGUGACACAGUCACAUGAAUGGAAGAAAGUACAGUAUGUAAAAAAAUGCAGGUAAAUAAUGUGCCACAUUAAAUCCUUCCAACAGCUACUCUAAUGAGCCAAACGUGAAGCAGAAACUCUUGUCUUUAUUCAUUUAAAUAUUUUAAUAUAAAGCAUCUUAAUUCAACUUUCUUUUCCAUCCAAAUUCUGGGAUGGAACUUAUUGCUAAAUGCACUAAACUGGUGCGGAGAGACUGACUAAAUAUACCAUAUUUUCUGCACUAUAAGGUGCUUUAAAAGCUUUCUUUCUCUCUCAAAAAAGUGCGCCUUAUAAUUCGGAGCACCUUAUAUUUGGAUUCUUUUUGGUUUUGCUAAUUUAUGUCGAUGCAAUUUUGAAUGUUUGUUUCAUCAAAAUGUUAGUUAGGGAUUAUUGUGAAUAUGCUAACAGAUGUAGCGAUAUUGAUUUUUUUUUUUUACCUAUUACUAAAUAUGUUGGGAGUUAGCGUAGUCACAGUAACAUUUGUUUUAGCUGUAUUUGUCUGUUUUGUUUUAUGUGUUGCAAAAAAGUUAGGAGUUACAGUUAUUGUGAAUAAACUAACACCUGCUACAUUGCCAAUGUGUAGUGUGUCACAAACAAGUCAUAGAAUUACUGAACGCAGCUAUUAAAAGCCUGACUGACUGACAAAUUGAUCUGUAACACUUUUUAUCACUUAAUGUUUGGUAUAGUGUGUAAAAUGUGGUUUGUUUGUUAUAAUAAGCAGCAAAAUAGCAUACUAUGCCUGAGAAAAUGGCCAUCCUGUCUGAUCUCUAUAUUUCUAGAAGAGCCUUGUGCCUCUAAUGGAGGAUUAAUUUUUUUGUGAUCUUAAAUAUUGUUAC